GUCUUGGCUGGAGCCUUCCCCUCGCAGCGAGUGCUCUGCCCACCCGGGUCCAAACCUCGGCUGCCGAAUUUUAAUGCAUUUCCUCCAUUAAUUUAAAAUGGAAACGUUUAUUAACUGAAAAAUGAAGGCAUAAUACUGAGUUCUCGUUAGUUUUUAAUUUAAUACUGAGUAAUGAGGGGCAGUACCAGUGGUUAAUUUGGGCCCCCCAGUACCGAAGCAUUUAGGAAUUGCUGCUUUAAGAAAUGAGAUAGAAAGCUACUGAUUUUCUAGACUUUUAUUUCAGGCUGGUGUCCUGGAGAGACCAAGAAAUGGUCUUAUAAAACAACUUAAAAAAAAAAAAAAAGAUAAUUUCCAUAAAGCCAUUCAGAUACCAGUGACCUUUUUCAGAGGGCAUCUGGCUGGUGAACCUCAGUUUACCCACACCUGGCAUUCACUUUAAGUGUGGAGGGACAGAGACAAAUGUUACUGUGCAUUUACCAGUGCCAGAUGCUGUGCUAUCAUUUUACUGCAUGCUAUCUUUAAUUUUUACAAUGAUCUUCUGAGGUAGGUGUUACCUCUCUCUCUCUUUUUUAACAGACGAAUUCACUUAGGCCCAGAGAGAUGAAGUGACUAAUUCAAGGUCACACAGUGUGGAGGAUGGAAUCCCGAUCUUCUGAUUUCCUUAUUGGUGAUCUCAACCUUUCUGACAGCUCCACUUAACCGUCUGCAUAUGGAUGAUGCCCACCUCUGUCUGCAGACCAGUGUCCAGCUGCUCACGUGGCCGGCAUCACAGGGAUAUUGUGCACACUCACCACUGUGUGGCCUCCCGCUCCUUACUUGCCGCCUCACCUGGUGUCCUGUCACAUGUAUGUGUGCUGCUGAAGCAAGCACAGGAAUCUGCAUUUUGAUUGCCUCUCAGAGGACUCUGACUACAGUCAUCAUCUGCAGACCAUAUUUGGAGAAACUGACAGAGGAUUCCACUGACCUCCCAUCUCUAAAGGGGAAGAAAGGGGAUUUGAACACUUUACUUGGAUCUAAAGGUCCUAAGAAACCCAGUCUGUCAUCCAGUGGGAAUAAUGGAUAACUGCGUGUACCGGCACCUCAUCUUCUCAUUGCCACAGUAGAUGCAGAACCAGAUGAGGUAGACAAGGGCUUCAUGACUAAACCAUGGCAGGUGAAAAGUGGUCUUGUCACUAUAAUAUGGUAGUUGAGAAUGUGACUCUGAUAGAUGUGAUGUGAUACGGCAUAUGACUCUGGAGCCCAUCUGCUGGGGCCUGAAUUCUGACUCAGCCACUUAACUGUGUGACCUUGGGUCCUUACAGGAUACAUAGAGGAAGAUGUCCGUGUGAAGAUGGAAGCAGAGAUUGGCGUUGUGCUGCCACAAACCAAAGAAUGUCAAGGAUUACUGGCAACCACCAGAAGCUGGAAGAGGCAAAGAAAGAUUCUCCCCUGGAGCCUUCACAGGGAGCAUGGUCCUGCUGAAACCUUGAUUUUGGACUUCUAGCCUCCAGAACUGUGAGAGAAUAAAUGUCCUUUGUUGGAAGCCACUAACUUUGUAGUGUUUGUUAUAGCAGCCCUGGGAAACCAACA